GACGAACUGUGCGAACGUUAUUCGGAAUCACUGGGCUUAAAGGGCGCGUAGGCGGGUGUUUAAGUCUGUGGUGAAAUCCUCCGGCUCAACCGGAGAACUGCCAUGGAUACUGGGUGCCUCGAGGGUGGUAGGGGUAUGCGGAACUAUCGGUGGAGCGGUGAAAUGCGUUGAUAUCGAUAGGAACUCCGGUGGCGAAGGCGGCAUACUGGACCACUACUGACGCUGAGGCGCGAAAGCCAGGGGAGCGAACGGG
rnacentral:rRNA from 1 species